UACGUAGGGUGCGAGCGUUAAUCGGAAUUACUGGGCGUAAAGCGUGCGCAGGCGGUUUUCCAAGACAGAUGUGAAAUCCCCGGGCUCAACCUGGGAAUGGCAUUUGUGACUGGAAGGCUAGAGUACGGUAGAGGGGGAUGGAAUUCCGCGUGUAGCAGUGAAAUGCGUAGAUAUGCGGAGGAACACCGAUGGCGAAGGCAAUCCCCUGGACCUGUACUGACGCUCAUGCACGAAGGCGUGGGGAGCAAACAGG
rnacentral:rRNA from 1 species